CAGUCGCCACGGUAAUACGUAGGGUGCGAGCGUUGUCCGGAAUUACUGGGCGUAAAGGGCUCGUAGGUGGUUUGUCGCGUCGUCUGUGAAAUUCUGGGGCUUAACUCCGGGCGUGCAGGCGAUACGGGCAUAACUUGAGUGCUGUAGGGGUAACUGGAAUUCCUGGUGUAGCGGUGAAAUGCGCAGAUAUCAGGAGGAACACCGAUGGCGAAGGCAGGUUACUGGGCAGUUACUGACGCUGAGGAGCGAAAGCAUGGGUAGCGAACAGGAUUAGAUACCCCGGUAGUCCCUGUCUCUUAUA
rnacentral:rRNA from 1 species